UGUCCCUACGGGGCGCAGCAGUGAGGAAUAUUGGUCAAUGGGCGAGAGCCUGAACCAGCCAAGUCGCGUGAAGGAUGACGGCCCUAUGGGUUGUAAACUUCUUUUGUCAGGGAGCAAUUGGGUCCACGUGUGGGCUUAGCGAGAGUACCUGAAGAAAAAGCAUCGGCUAACUCCGUGCCAGCAGCCGCGGUAAUACGGAGGAUGCGAGCGUUAUCCGGAUUUAUUGGGUUUAAAGGGUGCGCAGGCGGAGGUGCAAGUCAGCGGUCAAAUUGCGGGGCUCAACCCCGUACUGCCGUUGAAACUGC
rnacentral:rRNA from 1 species